GUGCAGUCUUGGGAUGCUUCUUGAACGAGAUCUUACAGAGAGUCUGUCCUUUCAGACCCAUUUUGUCGAUCCAUUUCACAAAUUCCUCAGGAACCAGGCAGAAAAAGACUAUCUCUUCUCAGGGUAAUGGGAAGGGCUGUAUUGGUGAUCACAGUGUGCCUGGCUCAAGCUGGAGGGGGAAGUGGGGUAGGAGAAUUUCAGUGGCCUCUACUUGCUGGGGAGAUUUGGGGAUGAUACAGCUUGUUUGAGCAUCAGUAACAGGGAACCAUGAGAGGUUUGGGAGCAGCUCUGUUUUCUUUGGAUACUGCUCUUUACUAGGAGAUAAAAGCAAUGUUAAAAGGAAGCUCCCUCUGAAAGAUCAAGAGUGGCAUUUAAUCAUUUAAUCAGCAGUUAUUUAUUAGUAGCCUCUUCUGUGUGUGAAAUUGUGUAGGCUCUGGAGAAUACAAUGAUAAAGCUCCUUUCCUGAGGGGCUACACUGAUUGGCAGAGGAAUAGGAGGAAAGCAAGCAAAGGUACCAUCUGACAUGGAGUCAGCAUUUAGUAAAAUUUGCUUAAAUGAAUGAAUGAGGAAGAAAGUGUUAGGGAUGUAUUAGUUUCAGAGGGCUGCCUUAUCAAAAAGUUCCACAAAUGGGAUGACUUAAAAACUACAGAAAUUAAUUUUCUCACAGUUUCAUAGGCUAGAAUCUUGCAGUCAAGAUACAGGCAAGGCCAUCAUCCUCCUGAAAGCUCUAGAGAAGGAUUGUUCUUUGACUCUUCUUAGCUUCAUUCUGGUAGUUGCCGACAGUCCUUGGUUGGCUGAUAGAUGCAUCAUUCCUGUCUUUUCUCUGUCAUUGUGUAAUGAUCUCCCUGUAUAUCUAUGUUUAAAUUUCUUUCUUUUUAAAUAGAUGCUAGUCAUUGGAUUAGGGCCCAUUUUAAACUGGUAUGAGUUCAUCUUAAUUUGAUUACAUCUGCAAAGACUAUUUGCAAAUAAGUUCACGUUCACAGAUAGCAGGUAUUAGAACAUGAACAUAUCUUUCAGGAGGCCAUGACUCAGUCCAUAACAAGGGGCUCUGAAAAAAUUUUAUAGAGGACAGAACCUCUCCCCUGCCCCUGCUGUGUGUGUGUGUUUGUGCACGCACACAUGCACGUGUGUGUGUGUGUGUGUGUGUGUGUGUGUGUGUUUAUGCAGAUGGGAGGGCAGGGGACAACUUCUAAGAGAAGAUGCAGCUUAGUUGACAUCUGAAAAAUAAGUAAGUUAUCCCAGGAAAUGAUGAGUAAGGCAGGCAUUGCUGGUAGUGGGAAGCAUCUGAGAGGCUGUAUCUAGCAACCUCACUGUGAAUACUGAGCUUCAGCCCAAGAAGUCAUUAGUGUGUGGAAAAAAAAAAACUAACCCACAUUCUGUUGUUCUUUAUUGUUUCAGCUGAUCCUCUUAUGCCUGAUUAUAUAUUUAGUUUUUUCACAUCUAGCAUUCUGUAUGUGAUGUUUAUGGUGAUGUGUUGGCAUGAACUUUUAUGAAGCUCAUGUUCCAAGCCCUUGGUACUCUGCCUCAAGUUCUGAGAAUCAGAAAUGACAAUGCUUGCACCAUGCUAAUAAUGAAGAAACUUUCAUGUUGAAAAUAUCGAUAUUACUUUGUUUCAUUGUUACUUAUUAGUAAUUGUGCCAAACUAAAAUGAAUUGUCGUUUGGUUUCAAGUGAGAACACUAAAAAUGAAUCACAAGUACAGACACACAAGGUAAAGUACAAAAUACUGCAACAACAUCAAUUAAGUGCCUAAUAUGGUUUGUAAUUAUGAUUUUGAA